GAUGAACGCUGGCGGCGUACCUAAUACAUGCAAGUCGAGCGAACAGACGAGGAGCUUGCUCCUCUGACGUUAGCGGCGGACGGGUGAGUAACACGUGGAUAACCUACCUAUAAGACUGGGAUAACUUCGGGAAACCGGAGCUAAUACCGGAUAAUAUAUUGAACCGCAUGGUUCAAUAGUGAAAGACGGUUUUGCUGUCACUUAUAGAUGGAUCCGCGCCGCAUUAGCUAGUUGGUAAGGUAACGGCUUACCAAGGCGACGAUGCGUAGCCGACCUGAGAGGGUGAUCAGCCACACUGGAACUGAGACACGGUCCAGACUCCUACGGGAGGCAGCAGUAGGGAAUCUUCCGCAAUGGGCGAAAGCCUGACGGAGCAACGCCGCGUGAGUGAUGAAGGUCUUCGGAUCGUAAAACUCUGUUAUUAGGGAAGAACAAAUGUGUAAGUAACUAUGCACGUCUUGACGGUACCUAAUCAGAAAGCCACGGCUAACUACGUG
rnacentral:rRNA from 1 species